UACAGAGACUGCGAGCGUUAUUCGGAUUCACUGGGCGUAAAGGGUGCGCAGGCGGCCAGAUGUGUGAGGCGUGAAAGCCCAGGGCUUAACCCUGGAAUUGCACCUCAAACUAUUUGGCUAGAGCAUUGGAGAGGGAAGCGGAAUUCACGGUGUAGCAGUGAAAUGCGUAGAUAUCGUGAGGAACACCGGUGGCGAAGGCGGCGACCUGGGUAGAUACUGACGCUGAGGCGCGAAAGCGUGGGGAGCAAACAGG
rnacentral:rRNA from 1 species